GGAAUAUUUUAAGCUGUAACCUGAAACUUUGCAUUAAAGUGUGUUCUUAAACCCAUUUACAGGGUCUGCACUGCACCUGAGUGACAGAAACAUCCAAACACUUUCAGAGUUUCUUGCGUGACUUGGCGACACGAGCUGCAAGUGCUGCAGCCCCCGCAGCUUUACCCAAUCAGCCUCUGGCAACCUUCAGAUCCCAUUCAGGCUCCUCUCACACCACCCUGCAUCUGUUCCAGGCAGGAUGGAUGUCAGCAUGUGAACAAGGAGUGUCUGCAAAGGUGCUGACAGUCAAACAGCCCCAGAGUGACCCAGCCCGGCCCUGUGCAGGUCAACGUGUUGCUCAUUCCGGUCUGGAUCAGCCCAGUCUGGUUGGUCUUAUCCAGAAAGAGUGUGUGUAUGCAGGUGUGAAGGACUGGGCUGAUGAAAUCAAAAGGUUGAGGGGGAGAGGAAGCGGGAUGCUGCUCCUCUGUGCUGAUACAUCUUGGAUUCACACCAACACACACAGAGAAAGAGAAAGGUCACUUGUACUGAGCAGUGAAAAGUCUUUUUUGACGUCAGAAUAAUUUUCAAAAUGUCACUUGGCUCCUCGGAGGCAAAGUCGGCACUGAAGGCAGACUGAACUUUCAAGAAAAUGUCUGACUCACAGCAAUUUUCAAGAUCAGUCCCUUCAACUUCAAAAAGUUGCAAAUAAGGGUUAUACUAAAAAACAAAGUUUGUAGGGAAAGCCCUGAACCGAAACAAACAGAACUACUGAAACAAUUUUGAGACGAACAUCUGAAAAGUGAGACAUACCAACAACCAUGAGGAAACACUCACACAACCACCACUGUACAAGGAGAGGGUUGUUAUAGGAGCCAGGUGUACAGUAGACAGACUAAUAAAGGCUCCUGUUUCCUCGGUAAUGGCUCCCUUGAGUUCAGCACAGCACAACGCAGCUUGAAGGCCCAUUGGUGUUCUCAGAAUGAAGUGGACCAAAUAACACUCUCAUAAAAUCAAACACUAAAGAACCCGUCUCGAUAUUUAAACGUGAUAAAUAUGUGCUGACCUACAUGCAAACUGACAUUAUCCUUCAAAAUGAUUGCACCAUAAUAGAUUAGUCCCUCUGGGAAGAAAACAUGCAAUUCUUAUAAUCUCUGAUGUAAUUAACAUGCAAGCCACACAGGGGCAAGACGUUAAGGGAUUAUUGUGAGAGGUAAAUUAUAGAUUUUAUUAUUUUUUAGCAUGGGAUUUAAUUAAGACAAAUAUGUGGCUUUUUUAGUGUCAAUACCUUAACUGAGGUAAAGGUCAAAAAGAAAAUAAAAGAAUAAAAGUUUACUAUCAGUUAAGGUCAAAGGUAAAGUUAACAUUUUAAUGUCACAUAGCUAUAUAGACUGUGUGAUCAUAGUGUUAAACACUUAAUCCUGAGGUGGUGCAACAUAAAAUAAAAUGACUGAACGACAAGCAUUUUUAGUACUCCAAGUACUCCAAAAUAUUUUCUGUCAUGUUCUGGCAUCUAAUCCUAAUCAAAUACUGAAUUCUUACAGGCUUAAAUUAUUUUUGCUUAAUAUAAUUUAAACACAAUGCUUAUGCUCGUGUCGCCAGUGCAGAAGCAUUGGGAGUCUUUACCCAAGUGUUAUUGGAUAGGAGCAGAAAGAAGGAGGACGCUUGUUUAGACUGGAUAGUGUGUUAGAAGAUUUGCUGCUCAGUUAUUAGGAUACCAACGCUGUGCGGAACAGAUCAGAAUUCACUAGAAACACAGACAGAAAGUGGCUGCGGACUGGAAUCAGACGAUUUUCAGGAUUAUCUGCCCUGACUGUCCAUUGGAAACCAAGUAAAAAAAAAAGAUCUUUUUCUUGUUAGUCCCCAUGUUAUUUUUAUUUUCACUCUAUCUGAGUGGAACUGGAAUGGUAGUUUUAAGUAUCACCAUUUCAGUCCUAAUGAUCUACUAUCCUGCAACUUUUAGAAUCGAAUGACUCGUCAGCAUGUUUUAGCUCUACAGAGCCCUGGUAACGAGCCAUUCAUUUAAAGCAAUUGCGUAGAAGCUGGGAUGUAUUCAAAAGUUGCAAGAUAGUAGAUCUCCAUGCCUGGACAUGGGCACAAUUCCGCCAUUUAAAAGAAAAGUGUAGAAGGAAAAUUAGAGUAAGAGAGAGGAAGACUUUCAGCUCUUAACAGAAAGGCUAAAAGGACUGAAUCAUUGUUGGCUGUUUGAUCCUUUGAGCUAUUAACCAAAUUGUUUAUUGCAUAAACUGGGAUAAGCUUGUAACUCCUUUGUUUUCAGUAUGAGUCAAAAUUUUUGUUUUGCUGUCAUUUGGAACCGAGAUGCCAGAAAUUGGUAUAAGUUAAGAAAAACCUGAUCGUGGAGAUGCACUUUUUUUGUGCAUCUCCACAAAAACGUGGAAACUAGACACUUUUUUGUACUGUAGUGGUAAAAUGUACUUUCAUGAUGUGCCUUAGGGUUGGGGUAGUUUGCCCAAAAUUAGAAUGAAUUCGACAACUCGCAUGAAAACAAUGUUACUAAAACUGUCAUAAAUCUUUAAUUAAGACCUAAUUACCCACUAUUCUCUUAUUACAACUUUAAAAUGUAAUAUCAGAAAAGAGAAUUUAGAGGCCUUUGGAAAUUGUAGCUCUUUCCCUGAUUUAUACAGUUUAUAUGGUUAGUCAACCUUUCUAAAAGCUGCUCAUUGAUUUCUUUUACGUAACUCGUGGUUAAAUCAAAGCUCUUGUGGAGAUACUUCACAAAGAGCUGCAGGAAACUUAACUGCCUGCAGCUGGCAAAUCUGCCCACCUGUCAUCUGUCACCUCUCUCUGUCUCAUUAGUUUGCUCCUCAGGGGGGUUUAAUAACCCAGAUUUAUCAAGUGGGAUCCCACAGAAAUCUGAAAA